rnacentral:rRNA from 1 species
UCUGGUGAUGAUGGCGAAGAGGUCACACCCGUUCCCAUACCGAACACGGAAGUUAAGCUCUUCAGCGCCGAUGGUAGUUGGG